UACGUAGGGGGCGAGCGUUGUCCGGAUUCAUUGGGCGUAAAGAGCUCGUAGGCGGUUCAGUAAGUCGGGUGUGAAAUCUCCGUGCUCAACACGGAGCGGCCACCUGAUACUGCUGUGACUCGAGUCCGGUAGGGGAGUGUGGAAUUCCCGGUGUAGCGGUGAAAUGCGCGGAUAUCGGGAGGAACACCAGUAGCGAAGGCGGCACUCUGGGCCGUGACUGACGCUGAGGCGCGAAAGCGUGGGGAGCAAACAGG
rnacentral:rRNA from 1 species